CGCGUAGGCGGCUCUGUAAGUCUGGAGUGAAAGUCCUCUUUUCAAGGGAGGAAUUGCUUUGGAAACUAUAGAGCUUGAGUGCAGGAGAGGUUAUCGGAAUUCCCGGUGUAGCGGUGAAAUGCGUAGAUAUCGGGAGGAACAUCGGUGGCGAAGGCGGGUAACUGGACUGCAGCUGACGCUGAGGCGCGAAAGUGUGGGGAGCAAACA
rnacentral:rRNA from 1 species